AUGUUGUUUUUUCAUACUUUAAGGUGUGUGAGCCCCUUGGGGGUUCAGGGAACUGCUUGUCCAGGUUGCAGUGUGAGUGUGACGGGCCACCGGGGCAAGAGGGAAGGUGACCACCCAGCUCUCCCACAUCCCACUGGAUCUGGCUUACAGGGGGUUGGAAGCCUGUCCUCACUGUCUCAGGGGUUGUGGCCCCCACCCCAUCACUAUAUGCACCCCUGGAACCAGCAAGCCCCAGACAAGGAGAGCAAAGGAGGAAGUCAUGGGAACGCAGCCUCCAGUUGUAGCAGGUUUCACCUUAUUCCUAUGCUGGAGUGCACAAUGAGAGUACUCACUUCUCACCUGUCUUGCUCUUAGAUUGGGCUGUGGCUUUCAUCCUGUGUCCCCUGACCUGUCCAGAUGAGCGUGAGGGCAGCAUUGGGAAGCCAGAGUGCUGCUUGUGCCUCCCUUGCCAGUGGGCUGUGUUGACUGCUGCUCCCCACCCCUACAGAUGGUCCCAGGAAGCAGGGAGAGUUGGGGAAGGCAAGAUUGGAAAGAAAGACCAAGGCCUCGGCAGAGAUCUCUGUCUUCUCUCCACUUCUGGUCCCCUGUAGUGAUGUGCCUGUAAUCUUUUUCUCCACCCACUCCCCUUUCCACGACAAAAACAAGGCUGCCUCCCUCUCUCCGGAGAGUUGGUGACAGUUGGUCCUCUCGGUCCCAAAGCGGCUGAUGGGAGUCUCCCUCCGACUCUGAAUAUGAACAGGGCCUGGGCCUGGAGCAUUCGCUGUGCCAGGAGGCGGCAGCCCUUCUGGGCAGAGCCUGUCCCUGCCUUCCCUCACUCCUCAUUCUGCUUCUCCUUUCCUCGCUGAUGAUAAAAGGAAUCUGGCAUUCUGCACCUGGACCAUUUGAUUGUUUUAUUUUGGAAUUGGUGUAUAUCAUGAAGCCUUGCUGAACUAAGUUUUGUGUGUAUAUAUUUAAAAAAAAAAUCAGUGUUUAAAAAAAGACCUAUGUACUUAAUCCUUUAACUCUGCGGAUAGCAUUUGGUAGGUAGUGAUUAACUGUGAAUAAUAAACAUACAAUGAAUUCUUCA